rnacentral:rRNA from 1 species
GAUGAACGCUGGCGGCGUGCCUAAUACAUGCAAGUCGAGCGAACAGACGAGGAGCUUGCUCCUCUGACGUUAGCGGCGGACGGGUGAGUAACACGUGGAUAGCCUACCUAUAAGACUGGGAUAACUUCGGGAAACCGGAGCUAAUACCGGAUAAUAUAUUGAACCGCAUGGUUCAAUAGUGAAAGACGGUUUUGCUGUCACUUAUAGAUGGAUCCGCGCCGCAUUAGCUAGUUGGUAAGGUAACGGCUUACCAAGGCGACGAUGCGUAGCCGACCUGAGAGGGUGAUCGGCCACACUGGAACUGAGACACGGUCCAGACUCCUACGGGAGGCAGCAGUAGGGAAUCUUCCGCAAUGGGCGAAAGCCUGACGGAGCAACGCCGCGUGAGUGAUAAAGGUCUUCGGAUCGUAAAACUCUGUUAUUAGGGAAGAACAAAUGUGUAAGUAACUAUGCACGUCUUGACGGUACCUAAUCAGAAAGCCACGGCUAACUACGUG